AGUUAACAGUUAACGAAGCAGAAUGAGUUACAAACAGCAAGAGAAGGACUACCAAGAUCUUUCAUCAUGAAGGAAGAUAGUAAUCAUUAGAGGAUAAGAGGGAGCUUCAGGGAGACCACCUUGAAAAGACCACUUCUGGAGCCACCUUGAAGAGUAGGAAGGGUUUUGACAGGUAGAGAAAGGAAUAAAAAGGCAUUGCUGGCACUGCUGACGAAGGAAGCCAUGUGCACAGGGGCCUGGAGAGUGGGUGAGGACACUGAAGGAUAAAAUUGAGUACAGUAGGUUCCACCUACUACGUUAACUCACAGAGAACAGAAGUGGAGCUGGAGCUCAGAAAGGGUGGAAACUGCAGUCAUACAGACCUCACCUUGAACUCAGCUUCUCUGCAAGGUAUUUAACUUAAGUCUUGAUUUCUUCAUCUGCAAAGGGGAAUAAUGGCACCUAAUCACGCAGUUGUUAGAAGAUGAGACAUGAGAUAAGAAAUGAACACAGUGACUCCUUUAGGGUAAAAUUUCAAUAGAUGCAAGAAGGACAAAGACUACUAUGAUGAUGAAAGAGGAAGAAGAGGAGGAGGACAAAAAGAGAAAGUUUAUUGACAACAAAAUAAUGUCUGAAUUCAUUUUUGUAUCUCUACAUCUUGUUUAAAACCUGGCAUGUUGCAGGCACUCAAAUUGUUGGAUUAAACUAAAGUGCACAUUUAUCCCAGGAACCAUGGUAUAUCUUCACCAGCCUUUGUUUUUGAAGACAAAAACAAAUGUAGGGUGUUGGAAGCAGCCUGAAGGAGAAAAAUGCAUACUGGAUAAUUUGGGGUGCUUAUUAGAAAACACUAUGAUAAGAAUAAUGACUAAUUAUACCAACCAAAUUUAUUAUCUUUCUAUCACCACUGGGAGAAAAACGCCAAGGUCAGUGAAAACCACAGAGCUGAAAUGGAAAACCUGGCACCCUUGAGAGGUAAUUGAGUUUUUUUUACUGGGUUCCCUCUCAUUAGAUUUGAUGUAAUUGUUUUUAAAAUGUCAAGAUAUAAUGACAAGUAUGUAUUUCAAUAUAACCCUGAUGCAAUAAUCAAAAGGGCAUUUAAAAUUUGCUGUACAAUUACAGUCCUAUUAAAUCUAAGCUCAUUGAGUCACUAAAUCUAAUCUGUUACCUUGCAACACACAUGCAGCAAGUUUCCAUCAAAACUGAAUUGUAACCAGAUUUCACUCGUUACUCUGGGAAAAGUUCUGUAAUAACAUUUUAACAAGGACUGGGUGAUGCGUACACGAAAUAAAAGAUUCACUGGGAGUCCAGCGUUCGUAUUAUCACAUCAGUCAAGGAAAAAAGGCAGAACCACUUGAUUCAUGCAAGCAACAGGCAGCCUGAUGCAUGCAAUUUGCUCUUCCUACUUGAUCAUGACAAGGGGGAACUCCAAAGCAUCACAGAUCUUUGCACAAAAGCCUGACUUCAAGGCUCCCCCCAUUUUGUUGUGAAAAACUUCUGAGGGAUCAGCCAAGUUGAUCCCUGGUUUGCAUUCCCCUACCCAUCACAACGCAAAAACUUCAAAAGAGUCCAAAAUGCGACUGGCCUCACACCAUUCAAAACGUUGUGCAUAAGGGUCUUAUAACUUUGAAAAGACAGCCAUCAAGUGCUCCUGGGACAGGCAAGAGAAAGAAAAGAUCCCGCGGGAGGCAGCUCUGGCGCAUCCAGCUGCUUGGAAAAGCAGUAUGAUGGAUGGCUUCCACUGGCAACAAUGAACGGCCAUGAGAGACAGGUUUUUGUUCCCAGGUUCCUGCACUCUCUCCUUUGACCUGCCCCACUGACCUGUAUGCUGGUGCACAUGGCAGGGAUGCCCUGGCCCUCUGCAAGUUAAAGCCCACCACUAUUACUCCUGCAAAGGGCCUGCUGCCUGCUGUUAUCCCCCUCCCCUCCAUUUCCAUACAGUCUGGCCAGAUGGUGACAGGGCUGGAAGUGGAAUCCUGGACUCUGGAGGACAAGGCUUCCAAUCUGCAAAUUCGUUCCAGGAUUAGCACAAAUCAAUUGCACAGAAAGCUGAAGAGCUAGGGGAUGGGGGUGGGCACUUGUUUUUCUCUGAAGAGGACAGCAAGUAAGCAAUUACAUCCAGGUGGUUACUUAAGGCAUAUAAUUAAUCUGUGUUCCCAGGGAUAUUUUCCAAUUCAAAGCAGUAAGAGGGAAGUUCUAAGAAUCUGGUGAAAUGCAGCAUAUUCCUCUCACAACUGUGGGUGUGAAGGGCAGGCCUGAGCCCAUGGUGUCACUACAUGCCUCACUCACUCUGGCCUCAGGAUCCUCAUCCAUAAAACAUUUCAGUCCUUCCUACCCUGCCUAGUCAUGAGAGCCUUACUGAAACACGUGAACUUAAACAUGCAGUAGAAAAAGAAAAAUACUUUGUGACCUCACUUCUAUGUGGAAUCUAAAAAUAUUGAAUUCACAGAAACAGUAGAGUAUUUCCUGUUUUGUUUUGUUUUGUCAUGUUUUAUGGAAAAUGUCAAAGGAUGAGAUAGUUGGAUGGCCUCACCGAUUCAUUGGACAUUAACUUGGGCAAACUCCAGGAGAUGGUGAGAGACAGGGAAGCCUGGUGUGCUGCAGUCCAUGGGGUCACAAAGAGAUGGACACAACUUGGUGACUGAACAACAAUGGAAAAUGUCCAUAUCUUAUUUUAUUAUUAUUAAUGUCAUCAUUUGAUGCCAAAGAGAUGAAGGUUAUUUUACAAACUGAGAAUUUUGGCAAGUACAUGAAAUUUCCAUUUUAUUGUAGUUUUAUAUCACAUUAAUUCAAAUACAUUGUCUAUAAC
ensembl:lncRNA